ACAAGGGCAGCACCGGUGCGACGCUCCCCGUGUCUUCCUUACACUGUACCGUCCCCCAGCCCCCACACUCCCUCCGCGGUUCUUGCCGCGUUUCGGCCUCAGGCAUAGAUUGAAUCUUUAUUGGGGCUCUCAGCAUUCCCGUCUCUAUGGUAACAUCCAUUCGUAUUCGCAGUCUACCUGCCACGUACAGCGCAGAAAAACUGCUGCGGUUGUGCGCUUGCUUUGGCGAAGUCACUGCUUUCACCGCGGUUGACGAGGAUGGAGCUGGCGGCAGCGGCUCCGCUACCGCAGACGUCUCCUUUGAAGAGAAAAGCGACGCGUUAGCGGCAGCGGCGAACAUGGAAGGAAUGGAGUUCGACGGCGUCUUUCUGCGCGUGCUUGUGCGGCAGGAGUGACGUAAAGCGCGGAGAGAUCGCUUUUUUUUUUCCGGCGGCGCUGGUGAUGGAUAUGGACGGCUGUAGUGUUCGCCGUCCCCUUCCACAGCAGACGAAGCAGCCCACCGCUGCGACUGCAUAUCAUGAAUGGCGUCCAUGAGCUCGACACACAUGGAGUAGCUUGUGCUGCCGACGGCAAGCCAAAUGACAAGAAAAUGCUCUUCCCACGACACGCGUGGUUCUCUACAGCGCUUUGCCCUCAUGCAGAAGUCGGUGAAGCUGAGGGCCCCAUACCCCCCCCGCCUCCGCCUCCACCCCUCCCCGCACAGCCUCGCCCGCAUCGUUUUCGAGCGAUUGGCAGCGCUGAAUAUCAGGGCGCGAGGAACGCGUGUGUGCGCACGCUGUCAACUCGACAAACCGGCCUUCGCCAACCCUCAUGCGUGCGCACGAGCGCAUCUCUUCUCUUUUUUUUUUACUUCCCCUCUCCUCCCUCUUUCAUGGGCGUCCGGCACACGCACAG
rnacentral:misc_RNA from 1 species